UAUCAGAAGUGCGAAUGCUGACAUAAGUAACGAUAAAGCGGGUGAAAAGCCCGCUCGCCGGAAGACCAAGGGUUCCUGUCCAACGUUAAUCGGGGCAGGGUGAGUCGACCCCUAAGGCGAGGCCGAAAGGCGUAGUCGAUGGGAAACGGGUUAAUAUUCCCGUACUUGGUGUUACUGCGAAGGGGGGACGGAGAAGGCUAUGUUGGCCGGGCGACGGUUGUCCCGGUUUAAGCGUGUAGGUGUGUGUUCCAGGUAAAUCCGGUUCACUUUAACACUGAGGCGUGACGACGAGGCACUACGGUGCUGAAGCAACAAAUGCCCUGCUUCCAGGAAAAGCCUCUAAGCAUCAGGUAACAUCAAAUCGUACCCCAAACCGACACAGGUGGUCAGGUAGAGAAUACCAAGGCGCUUGAGAGAACUCGGGUGAAGGAACUAGGCAAAAUGGUGCCGUAACUUCGGGAGAAGGCACGCUGACAUGUAGGUGAAGUGAUUUACUCA
rnacentral:rRNA from 2 species